GCUCUCUUUGGGGACAUCCAAUAAAAUUGGAGCAAUACAGAGAGGGUUAGCAUGCCCAUUCACAAGGAUGACAAGCACAAAUCGAAUGCUGGUCAAAAAAAAA
rfam:Solanum lycopersicum cultivar Heinz 1706 chromosome 7, whole genome shotgun sequence.